GAUGAACGCUGGCGGCGUGCCUAAUACAUGCAAGUCGAGCGAACGGACGAGAAUCUUUCUUCUCUGAUGUUAGCGGCGGACGGGUGAGUAACACGUGGAUAACCUACCUAUAAGACUGGGAUAACUUCGGGAAACCGGAUCUAAUACCCGAUAAUAUUUUGAACCUCAUGGUUCAUAAGUGCACGACGGUCUUGCUGUCCCUUAUAGAUGGAUCCGCGCUGCAUUAGCUAGUUGGUAAGGUAACGGCUUACCAAGGCGACGAUGCAUAGCCGACCUGAGAGGAUGAUCGGCCACACUGGAACUGAGACACGGUCCAGACUCCUACGGGAGGCAGCAGUAGGGAAUCUUCCGCAAUGGGCGAAAGCCUGACGGAGCAACGCCGCGUGAGUGAUGAAGGUCUUCGGAUCGUAAAACUCUGUUAUUAGGGAAGAACAGAUGUGUAAGUAACUGUGCACAUCUUGACGGUACCUAAUCAGAAAGCCACGGCUAACUACGUG
rnacentral:rRNA from 1 species